GGUUCUUUUUUUAAAGCAUAUAUGGGUUUUUUUUUUAUCUUUUUAUACCCCCCGACCUCCCCCCACAUACUUCAUUAUAGUUUAAAGAAUAAUUUCACUUUUAUUCAUGAAUAGGCAUAAAUGUUGACAAACACAUUUCAGGGAAUGUCAAUUCAAGUGCUCGUGUGCAAACAGAUGCCAAUGUCGAGUGAAAACAGUGUACUCUUCUCAUCACAUAAAUGCUUUGUGUUACAUUUGGCAACUUUCCCAUUCAGGGUGUAAAAGUCAUCGAUAAGUUAAGCAGCAACAUGUUUAUGGCCAUUUUGUUUCCUCUCCUUACUAUGGAUUUGUUUCAUCAUGUCAUAAAUGAAAGAAGACAUAACUCUUACAUCAUCAGCACAGCUCAAGGAUCAUCUCUCAUCGAUAGGAUUUGACAACCUCGUCUUAUCAACACUCUACGGUAUCAAACUAUAUUUCACUCAUAUUAAAUGUUAAUUAAGCUCUGUCUAUUCUCUAAGUUAAGUUCUCAGUAAUCUCAGUAAAGGUUAAGUUCUCUCUAUUAUUCUUGUGGACAUAGGUGUAAAAAAAUGAGUAAACAACACAGAGGUAUCACUGAUCGUAAAAAAUUUACAUGCUUUAAAUGUCUGUAGUGUAAAGAUUGUAGUCAAAGGUACUAUUAGCAUUAGCUGUUUGUUUUACA